CCUCCCAUUCCCAAGUCAUCACUUUCUAACACAUCACCAUUUCACUUUCAUGGCUCUAGGGACUAGUUGAAAAUGAUCUCAUUUAUUCCUUUACUUGGAUAACUGGCUUAUAGGAUGGGCUGAACCUGAAGACAUCAGGACUUAAGGAUAAUCAGGAAACAGCUAUAGUAUUUUUCUCCCCUCAUUGCCUUCAGCCAUGUUAUGGUGAAUUUCCUUUCCCCACCCUUAAUCUCAGAGUUUUUGGCUUGACCUUCCCUAUCAGCCACAAGAAUAGUUUCAUGUCUAUAAUUAAGACCAAUUUUUCAGGCACUAAAAACUCUGGUCCUGUCCAAAUAAAAAAAAAAAAAUCCUUAUCCAAUUUAAUCAAUCGAGAAUCCAAUUCAAUACUCCUCCCUGCCCCCCCCCCCCCCCCCCCCCGGGACUGUCCCCUGGCUCGAGAUCCGACAGUGGAGAGAGUGGAGUGUGGUCUGUUUUUCUGACCAUCCUUUUCGGUGGUGGCUCCUCCGUGUCAGGGUCAGGGGAGAGGUAUUAGAGGAAACAUGGCAAAGUCUUAUGUGACAGGAGCCCUUGGCUGGCAGGUGCCACAUGCUGGCUCUUUCAUAGGCACAUUUGUGGAUUCUUGGGAGGCUCCCUGCAAGACCUCCACCCUGCACGGCUGUAACAAAACACUCUCCGGCCAACCUCUUGCAGGUCCCUGUAUCCUCUGCCCUCGUGGACUUUCUGUUCCAUGCCAAUAAACCAAUGGUGAGUGGGCUGCUCCUCCCUCUGCCAUAGAAGCCACUCCAGCCAGGCUCCACAGUCAAAACUCUCCAGACAGACAGUAUCCACAAGUCUCUUCAUUUGUGUUCAUCCCCAAACUCUAAAGACAUAUGUUGGGUUCUCCCAACAACUUUCUUGUUGUGCUUUGGUACCUCGGGGUGCUUGCAGCUCCCAGCAACUCAGCCAGCAUCAGUGGAGGGAGAGUCAUGGGGAGUCGUGCUGGUUUCUUCUUCUUGAGGGCCCCCAAAUUCUGCAGCUGGUUCUCUUGGAGCCCCCUUUACUUGGUUUGCAUUGGGGAGUACCCUCAGGGGAAAUCUCAGCCCUGCCUACUAAUGCAACAGUUCUCUACCUCAACGCUUUAGAAAAAAUAGAUUUUUAUUGAUUUCAGAGAGGAAGUGAGAGGGAGAGAUAGAAACAUCCAUGAUGAGAGAGAAUCAUUGAUUAGCUGCCUCCUGCUCGCCCCACACUGGGGGAUCAAGCCCUCAACUCUGGCAUGUGUAGGAAUCGAACCAUGACCUCCUGGUUCAUACGUCGACUCUCAACCACUGAGCCAAGCCAGCCAAGCUCUAUGUCAACACUUUUUUCAAUCCCUUUCAUUCAUAGACUGAGGGAUAUGGCUUGAUAGUUGUUGAACUUGUUCUGCUGUUACUAAAAUGUGCAGGACUUCUCUUGGAAUGUGAGGAUAUUUAGUCCUUAUUGUUCUACCCUUGUGGCUUCAGCAAAAAUUCAAGACCACAGGAAAAAUCCUGUUCAACAACUGAAAAAAGUCAUUAUUGCCUGACUUUCCAAGCCACAAUGGUAGCUCUAAAAGAGUUGAUGUCUUGUCUCAACUCAGCACUGUUUCCCCAGAAUCUAGAAUAGUGCUUGACUCUAAUAAACAGCCAAGAAAUAUGGGUUCAAUGGAUGGCUAACUGAAUGAAUGGCAGAAUAAUCCCAUGAAGUAAGGAGGGCUGGUAUCAUUAGACCCAUUUUAAGAGAGAAAAACUGAGUUCCUGGUCCAAGUUCAUGUGCUUACUGCCUUGAGGGAUGGCCCUAGGAUCCCCUUAAAUUCUGGGUCUUGUGUUUUGGGAUGAAUGCCAUCUUGAUUCCCAGAAUGCUCAGUUCUUUCCCGGAGACAUUGCUCCUUCCCUGUUAUCCACCCAACUCUUUAAUUCCCGACUCCUUCCCUUCCCCCACUACCUGCCAGUUCCUUCAGGAGCUCUCCUCUUCAUCCCUCCGUGCUCACCUCAGAUCCCCAUGAGCCUCCCAAGGCCAGAAACCUUGGCGUCAUCUUCGUCCCUGAGUUAUUUUUUCCUCCCGUGUGUCCAAGUCAUUAUUACUGCUCCGUCUCCUCCGUCUGCACUUCUGGAAGUCUGCCGCCCAUUCAGCCUCUCACCGCUUGGCCCCAGCCAAAACCCUCAGGCAGACACACUUCCCACUCCGCUAGGGCGCCCCUCCUACUCCUUGGUGAGUACAAAUGGUCCUUGGAAAUUCCCACCCUGUUCUCCUAGGAGCCCACAACCUGGCUAAUCUCCCCUGAAGACUGGCAUCUCCUGUUCCUCCCAUCCCAGUGCCACCCUUCGGUCCUGUCUCCCACUUACUGCCCAUCACUCCUUUCCCUGCAACUAUUGGGAUCUGUUGAUGCAACUCUUCGAAAUCUCCAAUCCCAUAAAUGCUUGAGGUUUUUCUUUCUUUUUUUAAGCUGCCAAAAUUUAUAGAGUCUACUAGGGUUCAAGCACUGCAUUAAGCAUGCUACAUAAAUUGACCCCUUUAACCAGAUAAAGGGGGCAUCAUGAUUUCUGCCUAUACAAAGGAGGAAACUGAGGCUGGAAAUAGCUACUGCUUUACCCAGCUGAUAAGUAGCAGAUGCAGGAUUCAUUGGAGCCCAAGCUUUUAAGACUGCACCAUCUUGCCUCCCCCUUAGGCUUGUGACUCUGUAACCCGCCUCACAUUGAAGUGGUAUCUUUUCCCUGCCGCUGUUACCACCUAAGUACCUCGACUGCACAUCCCUCCAGUACCCUCUUCCCUGCCUGCUAGCCCACAAGUCAAGUCCCUGGGGACGUGGAGUUAUAAGAACUUUCUGUCCCCCUCUACCCUCCCUGGCCAGUAGGAGAAGAGAGGCUAAAUGUUAACAGCAUGGCCCCUGACUCACCAUGUGUCCCUUCCUUACCCUUGGUCCCAGCCUUCCCCCAGUGAGGCACCGAAUGCUGCUAACCCUACUCACCCAUCUCUUGGGUCUGGGGAGGGAAAUCACCUCUGGAAAGCCCUGCAGAGAGAGUCCCAGGGGCUUGAUAAGAGGAUUCCAGUGGGGAAAAGAUUGCCAGGACAUGUAACCGCAAGUGGGGAUGCUGGACACCCAGGGCACCCUAAUUGCUUUCCCAUGUCUUGCUGGAAUAAUGCUGGCAGCCAGAAAGCUACCAGAACCUGAACUAAUUUGAUAAACAAGGACCAAAAGCAAGGACCACAUUUCUGCUCCCUUUGCUGAGACCCAGACUCCCAACAGAAUUCCAGGGAUUUUUUCCUCCUUGGAAGUGACUGGACCUCCAGCCCUGAAUUCCUCUCCCCAGGAGAGCUUGUUCCCCUGCUCGGAACAAAUAACACAUUUCCUGGUUAAUCAGUGGGCAGAACAGCCGAAAAGGAAGGUUGAUUGGGCCCCAGCUUUCCAGAUGGGAGCAGCUCAGGGGCUGGGAUGCCCUCGUCCAGAUACUGGGCAGCUGGGACCCCCGCACUGCGCAGCCUCACCUCCAGUUUGGGAGACACAGGCUGUGUGAAGAGGCCCCAGCUCCCUCCUGCACGAGGUUUUCAAGGCCCACAGAGGCUGCCAAGAUCACUCCACCUCAGACACCGUGGCCUGGCAUCGCCCCCACAACUCACAGCCACCCUGCCCUGGACCGCCUGGGCUGUCUCCUCCCAUGAGCACGGAUGUUUCUGUCUUCUGCAAACUGAGCUCAGUUCUCAGCUACGCUUGGCUUCUAUUUUCUUAUCUGACGAUAGAGAUAAUGUUGCUCUUCUUGCCACACCACCUUCAGGGCAAAGUAGAUAACCAGCCCGAUCUACCCUGUGACGGGAGGGGAUCAAUCACUGCUACUCCAUUUGCCAGUGGGUAUUUGUCGAGCGCUUAAAACGUACCAGGCACUGUGCUUCGUGUUUUGCAGACAUUUUCUCAUUUAGUCCUCACAGUAGUCUUGUGAAGGAGGUAGCCGGUGAGGAAAUGAAGGCUCAGAGAGGUAAAAAUGACUGCUCACAAUUGCAAAGCUAGUAAGUGGCUACACUCGGAUUCCCCCCUGGUUUGUCUGGCUCCAGACACGAAGCCGAUGCCAGCGUCUCGAGGAGCCUUUCUGUGGAAAUGUGGCUCCGGCUGCCAUUCUCUGUAAUAGAAGCAUCCCAGCUGUUCGUGGUGUGGCCAGGGGUGCUGGGGGCCACAUAGAACUGCUGUCACGAGUUGGCCCACCAAGCACAUCUCACCGCCCCCCCCCACACACACCUAUUUACAGCUAGGGGUCUACUUUGGGUCAAGGGCAGACAAAGGUCAUCAUGGUGAGUUUCCGUGAAUCUGACUCGCCCUCACCAAGGAGAAGGAAAGAAGUCCAGUUUGUCCCACAUCAAAUCGUUUUCGGUUGCUGAGAAAGGCUCAUCUUAACCCUCAGCCUUUCUCUUUGGACGAGAGAAGUGGCGUCAACAAACAUCUCUGUGGCCCUGGGCGGUGGGCAUUGUAAUCCCAUUUCACAAACGCAGAAGGGUGAAGGCUCUUGCUCAAGGUCGUCCAGCUAGGAGUCGAGCCAGUGUUCAACGAAAAAGGCCGACCGGCUCCAAGGUCCGUGCUGUUUUCACUGCAGCGAACUGUACUCGCUCCAGGAUGUCCUGCAGUGAUGUGAAGUGGGCAGCCCUUCAAGUAGCUGAUUUCACUUGUUUCCCUUCAUUUCCAGUCCCUGAUACAAGGGUGGGCUGAUCUGAAAGUUCUGUGCAUUUAGCUCAAAGCUCAGACAACAUUUCCUACUUACCUGCAUGAAUUCCUUCAGCCUUUGGCUGAAGUGGAAUCUUCUAGAACUCCUGGGGCUGCAGCAUAACUUCUCCCCAAGUAGAGACCUGAAGGCCUAAGCAGGAAGACCAUGUGAGCGAGCAGUCCAGAGACCUCCUUCUCUUAAUUCCCUCCAGUAAGACCAGAGCUGCUCGACUGGGCUGGGGGCCGCAUGGAUGGGAUGGGGUCACACAUUGUAUUAUCCUUUCAGAAUCUCCAGGGAGAAAGCCCUACGGGUCCAAGGGCUGGGCAGAUCUACCCCGAAUUCUGGAAUGGCAGGCAGGAAUUUCAGGACAAGGAAGCUGGGAGCUAUCUGACCCUCUUGGCCAGGGAAGCCACGAGUGACUGUGCGUGUCAGCAGCAGGGCCUCAGAGCCUGGGAACGUCUCUGAUGGGGUCUAGUGCCAUCUUGGAUAACAUCCAGGGCUCAGAACUUGGAGGAUAACAGUGUACUUCAAGUUGUUGAGAUGCAAUGGCAGUUUCUUACUUGAUUCUGCCACCAUGUUGUAAAUGGCUUAUUAGAAUCUUUAAGCAUGUUUAUGAGAAGGUGACCUGAUGGAGAUAAAUACAACCCAGGAGGAGCAAUUGAGAUACUGGAGAAGAGAAAUCUUGGGUGAGGAGAGUCUGGCAAUCUUCAAUUAUUUGCAGGAUUAUCAGGUAAGAGAGGGGUUCGGUGUUCUGUGUUUUCAUUAGUCAUAACAGAUUCACUGUAGUAACAACACCCACACAGUAAAUUUAUGUUUGCUCACAGCAAGCAGAGCUCGGAUCCACAUGGUCAUGCAGUGCCCAGGAUCCUUUAGUCAUGGAGAUCCAAUAUAGAGACUUUUCUGCCGUCUCAUUCAGCCAGUAGAUAGAGAAGGGUAAAUGUGGAGGAAUGCACAUGCUUCUUAAAGGCAAUGUCUGAAUAAGAAAGAGGCAAACAACACUCUGUCCACAUUCCGUUGACCAGAACUUAGUCACAUGGCUAUACCUUACAACAGGGAGCUGGAAAUGUAAUCUGUGUGCCCAAGAGAAAAAGGCUGUGGGUGGGGGCUUUAGCACUCUAGACUUGGAAGAGACUGCCUUAGGAGUGAGAAGAGUUCAGGGCUUAAUAUAUCCACCCAACAACUUGCACACAAAUAAUGUAAGCUUAGUAGCAUUAUUCAUAAAAACCAAAGAUUAGUUAUUGGCUAAAUGCCCAUUGACUGGUGAAUGGAUCAAUAAAGUCUGAUAUAUCCAUACAAUGAAAUACAAUUAAGCAAUAAAAAGGAGUGAACUACCAAUACAUGCUACCACAUGAAUGAACCUCAACAUUAUACACACUGAAAGAAGCCAAUCACAACAUCACACAUUCAUUUAUAUGAAAUAUAAAAAGGGCAAAGCUACAGAGAUAGCAAAUAGAUUCAAGGGACAAGGGUAGGAGUGGAGUGGUUAAUAGUAAAUGGGCACAGGAGAUCUUAUUGGCAUGAUAAAAAUGUUCUAAAACUAAUUUAUGGUAAUGAUUUGGUAAAUUUAUUUAAAAAUAAAUGAAUUGUGCCUGGCUGGUAUGGUUCAGUGGUUGAGUGUCAACCCAUGAACCAGGAGAUCAUGGUUUGAUUCCUGGUCAGGGCACAUGCUCAGGUUGCUGGUUCAAUCCCCAAUAAGGGGUGUGCAGGAGAAAAACCAAUUGAUAGUUCUCUCUCAUCAUUGAUGUUUCUAUCUCUCCUUCUCCCUACCUCUCUCUGAAAUCAAUGAAAUCAUAUUAAAAAAUAAAUUAAUUACACAUUUGAAAAUGGCAAAUUGUAUGAUAUACAAAAUACGAUUCAAUAAUAUUUUUUGUUAGGUGUUAGGCGUUUAGUGCUUUGAGGUUGGGGAAAGGAGAAUAAUCCUGCAAAGGGAAUGAGAAAGGAAUAUCCAAGUGGAAGGAGGAAGCGGCACAGAAUCCAAGGAAAAGUUAGAUUUAAGGAAAGAAAGUAGAGUCAACUCUAGUCAAAGUUACUGAGCUGUCACAUGAGAUGGCAAGCUGAUGGUAUUGUCUCUGCCACAGUAGGGUUCACAGUUUUGUUCCAGAGCCUGGGUCAGGAACAAGAAAAACAGAGGAACAUAGAUUUCCACUUACAGUAAGUGCAACAUUGGGGUUGUCCAACAGCAGGACAGAUCCCAUUUCUGAGUCAUGAGCCCUCUGAUAGUGGAAGUGUUCAGAUAAGCUGGAUGGGCAGUGUAGAAAGGCUUUCCACACGGGAGGAAGACCUCUAAGGAGUGUCUGAAUCUAUGAGCAGUUUGCACCAAGGCCAGUACAAAGACUUGAGUAAUCAUAGGAAAUCGGGGGAAGAUAGGCUGAAGGACUCGAGAGAUGGCAUGAGAGAACCAGUGCUCAUUUUAAAAUAUGUGCAUGAAGGCCAAUCCCAUGGCUGCCUUUGUGUCACUGCCUCACAUUUGACUCACAUCCCCCUAAGAGGUAAGACAUGGAAAGGAGAGGAUGCAAGAUGAAGUUCACGGUAACCAUGUGAAGGGUUCCUGAGAUAAGAAGAAAAGAUGAAUUCACAAUAAAAGGAACACCCAUAUAUCAACCAUCCCUCCUAAAAAUAUACUAUUAUUUCAACUCUGGGUGGUGGGCACAUGGUACAGUAUACAGUUCUUGUAACAUAGAAACCCACACCUGAAACCUAUAUUUUCAUGUUGACCAAUGUCACCCCAAUAAAUUUAAUUUAAAUAUAUAUAUAUAUAUAUAUAUAUAUAUAUAUACUAUUAUUUCAUCUUUGAAAAAAAGAAGGUAUCUGUACAUCUCCUGAGAGGCAAAGGGAGCUGGGGACCCAUCAUGUGAGUGGGUUCAAGAAGAUUUCAAGCCAACUGUCUUUAUUAGGGCUUUGUUUGUUUGAUGCCUGUCUUAGUCACCCACCAGGAAUGGCAAUCAUGGUGUAGAAAUAUAAAAUAUCAUCAAGAAGUUGGGAGAAUCUUAUUUUCAAGGACUUGGAAAGCUGUGUGGAGCUUCUGGAUGGCCCGAGUUGCCAAUGGCCAUGACCGUAGCUGCUGGCAUUGCUCCAGCAUGAGCUCUGAUUUCAUGGCAAGGGAGAAGGAAUCCUUAACAGACUCCAAAGUCAAUUCAAAAAGCUAUAGUGCUGCCUGGUCACAAAACAAACAAUCCAGAAGCGAUUCAUUUGUUCAGCAAACAUUUGUUGGGCGUCUUCGUUAUGCAGGGCCCCCUCACAGAGCGUGCAGUCAGGUGGGAGGGCAAUUACCCCCAAGUUCCAAAGAAUAUGACAACCCACAUGGGUAACAGAGCUAGGUGCAUGCUUCUGAACCUGCCUCAUGAGGUCAAACUCAACAGUCUUUUUCUUAUCUCCAGACAAGAACCACAGCUGGAGGAGUGAGGAGGAAGAAGGGAGAGACAACAACAGUUUGUGCUUCUCCUUGUAUAAAUGAUAAUACUGAUAUCUGGAUUGCUGCAUGUCCAGCUACAACAGACCUCCCUGUGACAA